rnacentral:rRNA from 1 species
AACGAACGCUGGCGGCAUGCCUAACACAUGCAAGUCGAACGAGACCUUCGGGUCUAGUGGCGCACGGGUGCGUAACGCGUGGGAACCUGCCCUUAGGUUCGGAAUAACUCCCCGAAAGGGGUGCUAAUACCGGAUAAUGUCUUCGGACCAAUGAUUUAUCGCCUUUGGAUGGGCCCGCGUUGGAUUAGCUCGUUGGUAGGGUAAAAGCCUACCAAGGCGACGAUCCAUAGCUGGUCUGAGAGGAUGAUCAGCCACACUGGGACUGAGACACGGCCCAGACUGCUACGGGAGGCAGCAGUGGGGAAUAUUGGACAAGGGGCGAAAGCCUGAUCCAGCAAUGCCGCGUGAGUGAUGAAGGGCUUAGGGUUGUAAAGCUCUUUUACCCGGGAUGAUAAUGACAGUACCGGGAGAAUAAGCUCCGGCUAACUCCGUG